CUACGGGGUGCACCAGUGAGGAAUAUUGCACAAUGGGGGAAACCCUGAUGCAGCAACGCCGCGUGGAGGAUGACGCAUUUCGGUGUGUAAACUCCUUUUAUAUGUCAAGAAAAUGACGGUAGCAUAUGAAUAAGCACCGGCUAACUCCGUGCCAGCAGCCGCGGUAAUACGGAGGGUGCGGGCGUUACUCGGAAUCACUGGGCGUAAAGGACGCGUAGGCUGGUUGGUAAGUCAGGUGUGAAAUCCUACAGCUUAACUGUAGAACUGCACUUGAAACUACCAACAUAGAGUAUGGGAGGGGGAGAUGGAAUUAGUGGUGUAGGGGUAAGAUCCGUAGAUAUCACUAGGAAUACCGAAAGCGAAGGCGAUCUCCUGGAACAUAACUGACGCUAAGGCGUGAAAGCGUGGGGAGCAAACAGGAUUAGAUACCCGUGUAGUC
rnacentral:rRNA from 1 species